UGGGGAAUAUUGGACAACGGGCGAAAGCCUGAUCCAGCCAUGCCGCGUGUGUGAAGAAGGUCUUCGGAUUGUAAAGCACUUUAAGUUGGGAGGAAGGGCAGUAAGCGAAUACCUUGCUGUUUUGACGUUACCGACAGAAUAAGCACCGGCUAACUCUGUGCCAGCAGCCGCGGUAAUACAGAGGGUGCAAGCGUUAAUCGGAAUUACUGGGCGUAAAGCGCGCGUAGGUGGUUCGUUAAGUUGAAUGUGAAAGCCCCGGGCUCAACCUGGGAACUGCAUCCAAAACUGGCGAGCUAGAGUAGGGCAGAGGGUGGUGGAAUUUCCUGUGUAGCGGUGAAAUGCGUAGAUAUAGGAAGGAACACCAGUGGCGAAGGCGACCACCUGGGCUCAUACUGACACUGAGGUGCGAAAGCGUGGGGAGCAAACAGG
rnacentral:rRNA from 1 species